CAACCUGCCCACCACUUGGGAAUAACCUUGCGAAAGUAAGACUAAUGCCCAAUGAUAUUGAGUGCAGACAUCUAAUCUCAAUUAAAGAUUUAUCGGUGAUGGAUGGGGAUGCGUCCGAUUAGCUUGUUGGCGGGGUAACGGCCCACCAAGGCAACGAUCGGUAGGGGUUCUGAGAGGAAGGUCCCCCACAUUGGAACUGAGACACGGUCCAAACUCCUACGGGAGGCAGCAGUGAGGAAUAUUGGUCAAUGGGCGAGAGCCUGAACCAGCCAAGUAGCGUGCAGGAUGACGGCCCUAUGGGUUGUAAACUGCUUUUAUAAGGGAAUAAAGUGGGGCUCGUGAGCUCCUUUGCAUGUACCUUAUGAAUAAGGACCGGCUAAUUCCGUGCCAGCAGCCGCGGUAAUACGGAAGGUCCGGGCGUUAUCCGGAUUUAUUGGGUUUAAAGGGAGCGUAGGCCGCAGGUUAAGCGUGUUGUGAAAUGUAGGGGCUCAACCUCUGCACUGCAGCGCGAACUGGCUUGCUUGAGUACGCACAACGUGGGCGGAAUUCGUGGUGUAGCGGUGAAAUGCUUAGAUAUCACGAAGAACUCCGAUUG
rnacentral:rRNA from 1 species